rnacentral:rRNA from 1 species
GACAGAAGGUGCAAGCGUUACUCGGAAUUACUGGGCGUAAAGCGUCCGUAGGCCUCUUCGUAAGUCUGGUGUAAAAGCUCGGAGCUCAACUCCGAGUACGUACCGGAAACUGCGGAGAUCGAGCCACACAGAGGCACCUGGAAUGCCAUGAGUAGGGGUAAAAUCCGUUGAUCCAUGGUAGAACGCCAAAAGCGAAGGCAGGGUGCUGGGUGUGUGCUGACGCUCAAGGACGAAAGCGUGGGGAGCAAAC